rnacentral:rRNA from 1 species
AGAGUUUGAUCCUGGCUCAGAACGAACGUUGGCGGCGUGGAUUAGGCAUGCAAGUCGUGGGAAUGCCCGCAAGGGUGGAACCGGCGUAAGGGGCAGUAAGGCAUGGGUAACUUACCCUGGGAUUUGGCAUAGCCCGUAGAAAUACGGGGUAAUUCCAAGCGAUGUAGCGUGCGGGCCUCCGCGUGCUACCAAAGCUCCGGCGUCCUGGGAGAGGCCCAUGUGGUAUUAGCUAGUUGGUGGGGUAAUGGCCUACCAAGGCGAAGAUGCCUAGCGGGUGUGAGAGCAUGACCCGCGCCAUUGGCACUGAGAACUGGGCAAACACCUACGGGUGGCUGCAGUCGAGGAUCUUCGGCAAUGGGGGCAACCCUGACCGAGCGACGCCGCGUGUGCGAUGAAGGCCCUCGGGGUGUAAAGCACUGUCGAGGGGGAGAAAAGCGAAAGCGUGAUCUAUCCCUGGAGGAAGCACGGGCUAAGUUCGUGCCAGCCGCCGCGGUAAUUC